AUGUCUGAGGAGAAGCCCAAGGAGGGAGUGAAGACAGAGAAUAACCAUAUCAUCCUGAAGGUGGCUGGGCAGGAUGGCUCUGUCGUCCAGUUCAAAAUCAAGAGGCACACGCCUCUGAGCAAGCUGAUGAAGGCCUACUGUGAGCGACAGGGCUUGUCAAUCAGACAGAUUAGAUUCAGGUUUGAUGGGCAGCCAAUUAAUGAAGCAGACACUCCAGCACAGCUGGAGAUGGAGGAUUGAAGACACAAUCGAUGUGUUCCAGCAGCAGAUGGGUGGCACAUGGGAGACUGGAGACCUGUUGGGAUGUCGCAUCUAG